AGUGAGAGUGAUGCUAUCCAACAAUAUAAAAGAAGAGCCAUUUUAGCUUUUCUCUCAAUACUCACUGAGUCAACAAGAUCAAAGAAUCUGCUUAUUCAUCUCAAUUGGCAAGAAAAGAAAUCAAAAUGAACGCGAUUGCUAUAAAGUUGCUGUUGAUUGUCGUAGUCAUCUCAAGCGUAUUGUUGUUGGAAAUACAAUCGCGUGCAAUUGAGCAACCUUGGGAUGUUGAUGACGACUAUACUAGUGAUGAUUUCCGUGACCAUUUUGAUUCUUACUUGCACAUUCGACAACCGUUGACAUAUGGCAGGAGAAGAAUGAUGAAAGCACUUGCUAAAUCCGAUCGUAGUCAUCUUGGCAAAAAUUUACCUGUUCAAUCCCGUACUUUCUAUGAGAAUACAAAAAGAGAAGCUAGUGAAAGUCGUUAGUCUUAUGUAAAGAAGACUGAUAACGAAGAAACGUUUUUCUAUACAUUACAUCACGAUAUAGUAUUUACAUUUCAAAGAUAAAAUACAAAUUGUAACUUUGUGAAUUACACUUAAAUAAAAUGCUGGUUGUCAA